GUGGUAAUAGUGUAAAGGUUAGCACACAAGUUUGUGGCACUUGGAGAGUGGAUUCAAUUUCCACUUACCACA
rnacentral:tRNA from 1 species